GGGUUGCUAACUCAACGGUAGAGUACUCGGCUUUUAACCGANUAGUUCCGGGUUCGAAUCCCGGGCAACCCA
rnacentral:tRNA from 1 species